rnacentral:sRNA from 1 species
AUAAACUUAAACGAUGUAUGCCCUACCUACUCAUACAUCCUUACAACCCCUAAGUUGAUCCAGUGUGAAUAAGAUUUAAAAAAUAAUU